CCCCGGGAAACUGGGGCUAAUUCUCGAUAGGUGAAGAACUCUGGAAUGAGUCUUUGCCAAAAAGACGUUUACGUUAUGCUCGUAGGCGUCGCCCAAGGAUGAGGCCGCGACCGAUCAGGUUGUUGGUGAGGUAAUGGCUCACCAAGCCUUUUACCGGUGCGGGCCGUGAGAGCGGGAGCCCGGAGAUGGGCACUGAGACAAGGGCCCAGGCCCUACGGGGCGCAGCAGUCGCGAAAACUUUGCAAUACACGAAAGUGUGACAGGGCUAUCCCGAGUGCCAUCCGCUGAGGAAGGCUUUUACCCAGUCUAGAACGCUGGGGGAAUAAGGAGAGGGCAAGUCUGGUGUCAGCCGCCGCGGUAAUACCAGCUCUCCGAGUGGUGUGGAUGUUUAUUGGGCCUAAAGCAUCCGUAGCUGGCUGAGUUAGUCCCUUGUUAAAUCCACCGAAUUAAUCGUUGGAUUGCGGGGGAUACUGCUCGGCUAGGGGACGAGAGAGGCAGACGGUAUUUCCGGGGUAGGAGUGAAAUCCUAUAAUCCCGGGAAGACCACCAGUGGCGAAGGCUGUCUGCUAGAACGCGCCCGACGGUGAGGGAUGAAAGCUGGGGGAGCGAACCGGAUUAGAUACCCGGGUAGUCCCAGCUGUAAACGAUGCAGGCUAGGUGUUUGGACGGCCACGUGCCGUUCUAGUGCCGCAGGAAAGCUGUUAAGCCUGCCGCCUGGGGAGUACGAUCGCAAGAUUGAAACUUAA
rnacentral:rRNA from 1 species